rnacentral:rRNA from 1 species
UACAGAGGUCCCGAGCGUUGUUCGGAUUCACUGGGCGUAAAGGGUGCGUAGGUGGCUUUGCAAGUCUGAUGUGAAAUCUCCGGGCUUAACCCGGAAAUGGCAUUAGAAACUGUGAGGCUUGAGGCUUGGAGGGGGAACUGGAAUUCUCGGUGUAGCAGUGAAAUGCGUAGAUAUCGAGAGGAACACCAGUGGCGAAGGCGAGUCCCUGGACAACUACUGACACUGAGGCACGAAAGCUAGGGGAGCAAACAGG